CAAGUAAAUAAUGACAAAUAUUUUAUUUACUUAAAGACUGCAGGAAUCAGCAGAUGUGAGAUCCAGCCCCCAGCGUUGUAACCCACAAGGAUGUGAACACAAAGAAAGUAUGACUCAGAUGGAGACGUUUUACAAAGAGAAGCUCAUAAAGGCCCA